CAGGACCAUUAAACAUACGUAUGUGGAUUGCGAAGUAGCGUAGAAAAACCUCAAGGGCUCCAGCCCAGUGACUAUGGAAGAGAGACAGAGAAUGGAGAAGUAGAUUGAAAGAUAAACUUGAAUGAAGAUGACGAUCUUUUGAAUAGAGAAAUAAGCUUUGAUGCGGUUGAAGAUUAGAGAAACUAGAAGAAGAGGGAUUAGAAUGAAAGCGAAAGAGACUACAGAAGCAACGGUGGACGCAUAUCUGUUGCCAACUAUUGGCUUGAACCCUUUAGCCAUUUCAUUGUUUGCUUUUGUGAGGUAUUUUUUGGACGUCAUUGAGAUCUUCUCAAUGUCUGGCAUGAGAGAUUGUUGAAAUUUGGAUGGUAGAUCUCUGAACUCAGCGACCAAGUUAUCCUCCACUUCUUGAUCUAGCCAACUGGGUUGUUUCUGUGCCUGGGUGGUCUUCUUCUGGUUAUUUGGUUUUUUCUCUGUGGUUUGUUUUUGGGAUUCAGAAUCACUCACAAGGAUUUGGGAUCCUUUCUUUGAAAUGGAUUUUGAUGUUUUGUUCUUGGUUGAGCCUAAUUUGAGUAGAUCUGAAGUUUUUUUAGUAGAGGCAGAAGCUUUUGAUGAGAAAUUGAGCUUCUUCAGCUGGGAAUUGGAAUUGAGCUUCUUAAGCUCAGUCUUGGGUAAGAUAGAAAGAGCUGCUUUUGUUGAAUUUGUAGAUUUUGUAAUCUUGGUCUGGUUCUUGGAGGAUAAGCUAGUCCUAAGGAGCUUAGUUUGGUUUUUUGGAGCAAUAUUUGGUUUGAUUACCUUGGUUUGAUUCUUGGAAGAUAAAUUAGUACCUUUUUUCUUGGGAAGCUGAUCUUGAUCGUUUUCCACCUCUAACAUUCUUCUUCUACC
rnacentral:misc_RNA from 1 species